rnacentral:rRNA from 1 species
CAAUGGGCGAAAGCCUGACGGAGCAAUACCGCGUGAGGGAGGAAGGCUCUUGGGUCGUAAACCUCUUUUCUCAGGGAAGAACACAAUGACGGUACCUGAGGAAUAAGCAUCGGCUAACUCCGUGCCAGCAGCCGCGGUAAUACGGAGGAUGCAAGCGUUAUCCGGAAUGAUUGGGCGUAAAGCGUCCGCAGGUGGCUAUGUAAGUCUGCUGUUAAAGAGUCUAGCUCAACUAGAUAAGAGCAGUGGAAACUACAAGGCUAGAGUACGUUCGGGGCAGAGGGAAUUCCUGGUGUAGCGGUGAAAUGCGUAGAGAUCAGGAAGAACACCGGUGGCGAAGGCGCUCUGCUAGGCCGUAACUGACACUGAGGGACGAAAGCUAGGGGAGCGAAUGGGAUUAGAUACCCCAGUAGUCCUAGCCGUAAACGAUGGAUACUAGGCGUGGCUUGUAUCGACCCGAGCCGUGCCGUAGCUAACGCGUUAAGUAUCCCGCCUGGGGAGUACGCCGGCAACGGUGAAACUCAAAGGAAUUGACGGGGGCCCGCACAAGCGGUGGAGUAUGUGGUUUAAUUCGAUGCAACGCGAAGAACCUUACCAAGGCUUGACAUGUCGCGAAUCUCGGUGAAAGCUGAGAGUGCCUUCGGGAGCGCGAACACAGGUGGUGCAUGGCUGUCGUCAGCUCGUGUCGUGAGAUGUUGGGUUAAGUCCCGCAACGAGCGCAACCCUCGUUUUUAGUUGCCAGCAUUAAGUUGGGCACUCUAGAGAGACUGCCGGUGACAAACCGGAGGAAGGUGGGGAUGACGUCAAGUCAGCAUGCCCCUUACGCCUUGGGCUACACACGUACUACAAUGCUCCGGACAGAGGGCAGCAAGCCAGCGAUGGCAAGCAAAUCCCGUAAACCGGAGCUCAGUUCAGAUCGCAGGCUGCAACUCGCCUGCGUGAAGGAGGAAUCGCUAGUAAUUGCAGGUCAGCAUACUGCAGUGAAUUCGUUCCCGGGCCUUGUACACACCGCCCGUCACACCAUGGAAGCUGGUAGUGCCCGAAGUCAUUACUCCAACCUUUCGGGGAGGAGGAUGCCUAAGGCAGGACUGGUGACUGGGGGUGAAGUCGUAACAG